GCAAGGUGUGGUGGUGCACUCCUGUAAUCCCAGUGGCUUGGGAGGCUGAGGCAGGAGGAUUGUGAGUUUGAAGCUAGCCUCACCAAAAGUGAGGUGCUAAGCAGCUCAGUGAGACCCUGUCUCUA
rnacentral:sRNA from 1 species